rnacentral:rRNA from 2 species
UACCUACUCUUGACAUCCAGAGAACUUUCCAGAGAUGGAUUGGUGCCUUCGGGAACUCUGAGACAGGUGCUGCAUGGCUGUCGUCAGCUCGUGUUGUGAAAUGUUGGGUUAAGUCCCGCAACGAGCGCAACCCUUAUCCUUUGUUGCCAGCGGUUCGGCCGGGAACUCAAAGGAGACUGCCAGUGAUAAACUGGAGGAAGGUGGGGAUGACGUCAAGUCAUCAUGGCCCUUACGAGUAGGGCUACACACGUGCUACAAUGGCAUAUACAAAGAGAAGCGACCUCGCGAGAGCAAGCGGACCUCAUAAAGUAUGUCGUAGUCCGGAUUGGAGUCUGCAACUCGACUCCAUGAAGUCGGAAUCGCUAGUAAUCGUAGAUCAGAAUGCUACGGUGAAUACGUUCCC